UCAAGUUAUUGUUACUAGUAUUAUUAUUAUUGAUAAAAUUUCUAAUAAUAUAUAUUAGACGAUGUGACUUUGGUCAGAUUGGUCAGAUUGAAAUUCAUAUAGGUUUUUUCAUUAUCUGAAGAAAUCUACUGAAUCAACGGAACUCCUACAGUCGAUAUGGCCGAUUAACUUUUUAAACGUAUGACGUUAGGGAAACAUCACGUUUAGAACCUUGAACGAUUUACAAAUGGCACACUUGUGAUGCUAUCGCUUUUAGAAGCUUUACAUUUUUGAAGUAUAACGUUUCUUAACAUGAACGUUCUUUAGACAUCACAUUUCUAGCAUAUACAUUUUAGGAUUAAGUAACGUUUAUGAAAACUAAUUUUCGUCUUUGUUAGGACUAAAUUGUGGCACACAUGUCCAUCGCUUGGCUUGAAUAAGGUUCACUAGUCACUUGACCAGUAGGCAUGAAAAAACUUUAAUU